ensembl:lncRNA novel transcript
CACCCAGGUGAAAUAAACAGCCAUGUAGCUCACACAACGCCUGUUUGGUGGUCUCUUCACACGGACGCACAUGAAAUUUGGUGCCCUGACUCGGAUCGGGGGACCUCCCUUGGGAGAUCAAUCCCCUGUCCUCCUGUUCUUUGCUCCCUGAGAAAGAUCCACCUAUGACUUCAGGUCCUCAGACUGACCAGCCCAAGGAACAUCUCACCAAUUUUAAAUCAGGAACUUGCUACACGUGCUGGAAAUCUGGCAACUGGACCAAGGAAUGCCCGCAGCCCGGGAUUCCUAAGCCGCAUCCCAUCUGUGUGGGACCCCACGGAAAAUCGGACUGUUCAACUCACCUGGCAGCCACUCCCAGAGCCCCUGGAACUCUGGCCCAAGGCUCUCUGACUCCUUCCCAGAUCUUCUCGGCCUAGCGGUUGAAGACUGACACUGCCCAAUCACCUCGGAAGCCCCCUAGACCAUCACGGACGCCGAGCUUCAGGUAACUCUCACAGUGGAAGGAAACGACGAGGCUGAAUCCUGUUGGAGUGAUUUGUUCUUCGGACUUUGUAUCUUAAAUGAAAUCUUCUCCCUUAGAGGCCACAUAAACUGAUGGUACAAUCUGCAACUCUAAGCAAAUUCAUAGGUUAUACUUUUUCUUCUUCAUACUUGACAUUUGAACCUAGCAAGUUUGAAUAGCCUGUAAUUUGAAAACUCCCUUGCACAUCUAGCAGAUCAAGGUAGCUUGUUCUGCCUUCUGGACAAAUGGUGCCCUUAAGUCAGCUUAGGGAGACUGUUCCGAUAUCAAGAUUCUGUUUGAAUACUAUAUACUCUCAGCUGCUUAUUUAUUCAUAUAUAUAUGACACGUUUAUCAUGGAAGUAUUUCAAAACUAUC